rnacentral:rRNA from 1 species
AUGAACGCUGGCGGCGUGCCUAAUCCCUGCAAGUCGCGCGAACGGACGAGAAGCUUGCUUCUCUGAUGUUAGCGGCGGACGGGUGAGUAACACGUGGAUAACCUACCUAUAAGACUGGGAUAACUUCGGGAAACCGGAGCUAAUACCGGAUAAUAUUUUGAACCGCAUGGUUCAAAAGUGAAAGACGGUCUUGCUGUCACUUAUAGAUGGAUCCGCGCUGCAUUAGCUAGUUGGUAAGGUAACGGCUUACCAAGGCAACGAUGCAUAGCCGACCUGAGAGGGUGAUCGGCCACACUGGAACUGAGACACGGUCCAGACUCCUACGGGAGGCAGCAGUAGGGAAUCUUCCGCAAUGGGCGAAAGCCUGACGGAGCAACGCCGCGUGAGUGAUGAAGGUCUUCGGAUCGUAAAACUCUGUUAUUAGGGAAGAACAUAUGUGUAAGUAACUGUGCACAUCUUGACGGUACCUAAUCAGAAAACCACGGCUAACUACGU